CCUCGAGGUUUGCAAAAAUGCACCAAAUACCCUCGCGUGUUUCGAUUCACAUAAUAUACCCCUAUUUUUUCGUACUGUUCAUGAGAUGCACUUGGAGCUAACGGACGUUAGUCUACCGUUAGUUGCAAUUUACCAUUUUGCCCUUAAUGAUGUUUUUCGACAUAAAUUCCAAAAAAAUCUCAAACUUCUUAUCUUUCUCUCUCCUCUCCCCUGUUCUUCCUCUUUCUCUCUCCUCUCCCCUGUUCUCUCCUCUCCCCUGUUCUUCCUCUUGCUCUCUGGUCGGCGGUGGUCGAUCUCCUUCGCGCGCCACCGCAAUGUUCUUCGGUGUAGAUUGAGAUCCUUCACGCGCCAUCAAAUUUAAAUGGAUUGUUCUUGAAUUCACUCCUCCCUCAAUUCUUAAUUGUGCUCUCUACCAUUGUUGACCAAGGUUGGAAGCUUUAACCGUGAUGACAAUGCCGCACCUGCUGCAAGAAUGGGUUUAGAUCAGAGAAGAAAGGUCGGGAAUGGAGAAAAACAAGACUGCAGAAGAGAAAUUAAAGGGAAAUCGUAUUGAUAACCAACCAAUGAAACCAGCUUGCAUUCGAGAGGCUAGACUAUCCCAACCACAAAGCUGCUAAAACAUGAUUUCUGAAUGGAUCACUUCUCUUUUAUCUCCUCUUGUAAUUACAUUUCUCAGUGGCAUACAAGCUGACUUUCCAAUCCCCAUAGUGAUGCUACAUUGCUAGCAGCAGCAAUGUCUCCUCUUUUUCUUUUGUUUCUUUUCCUUGCAUUCACGCCAAGUGCAUCCAGGCUUCCAGGUAGGGCAAUACGCAGAGUGAAUAAAGAUUUUCAAAGGCUCCUAACAGGGGAUGUAAUAAAGCACUCUUAAACGCUAUAUAAAUCUUGUUAUUCCACAA